CCCUUAGAUGUUCUGGGCCGCACGCGCGCUACAAUGAUGCAAUCAACGAGUGCAGUACCUUAACCGAAAGGUUUGGGAAAACUUGCAAAUUGCAUCGUGUUAGGGAUAGAUGAUUGCAAUUAUUCAUCUUGAACGAGGAAUGCCUUGUAAGCGUGAGUCAUCAACUCGCGCUGAAUACGUCCCUGCCCUUUGUACACACCGCCCGUCGCUCCUACCGAUUGGAUGGUCCGGUGAAAUGUUCGGAUUUAAACGUUUGCGCGGGUGCGUAAAAUGUUUAGAAAAGUUCAUUGAGCCUUACCAUCUAGAGGAAGGAGAAGUCGUAACA
rnacentral:rRNA from 1 species